UAAUACGGAGGGUGCAAGCGUUAUCCGGAUUUAUUGGGUUUAAAGGGUCCGUAGGCGGAUCCGUAAGUCAGUGGUGAAAUCUCAUAGCUUAACUAUGAAACUGCCAUUGAUACUGCGGGUCUUGAGUGAGAUUGAGGUAGCUGGAAUAAGUAGUGUAGCGGUGAAAUGCAUAGAUAUUACUUAGAACACCAAUUGCGAAGGCAGGUUACCAAGUCUUAACUGACGCUGAGGGACGAAAGCGUGGGGAGCGAACAGGAUUAGAUACCCUGGUAGUCCACGCCGUAAACGAUGCUAACUCGUUUUUGGGGCCUUGCGCUUCAGAGACUAAGCGAAAGUGAUAAGUUAGCCACCUGGGGAGUACGUUCGCAAGAAUG
rnacentral:rRNA from 1 species